AAGUCGUAACAAGGUUUCCGUAGGUGAACCUGCGGAAGGAUCAUCAGUAGAAAUUCGGGGCGGCUGCGGCUCGAUCGACAUCGGGAGGGUCUGCUGCCGCCCCUGCAUCCUGUCCGUGAACCGUAUUGACAAUAUUUGCGGGCUGGUUGGUGUUGCAGGACCUGCUCCUGCUUCGUCUCCGCCCGCUCAUUCCUAGACAUUCCUGUAUCUCUAUGCAUCUCGUCACACCCGAGAGUCAUCCUCUCGAUUGAAACAUUCACAACUUUCAACAAUGGAUCUCUCGGCUCCU
rnacentral:misc_RNA from 1 species